AUUGAACGCUAGCGGGAUGCUUUACACAUGCAAGUCGAACGGAGUGGCGGACGGGUGAGUAAUAUAUCGGAACGUGCCCAGUAGCGGGGAUAACUACCCGGAAGAGUGGCUAAUACCGCAUACUAAUGGAGCGGCCGCAAUCGGAUUGGCCAGUUGGUGGGGGAAAGGCUCACCAAGGCAACGAUCCGUAGCUGGUUCGGGAGGACGACCAGCCAAACUGGGACUGGGACCCGGCCGAGACUCCUACGGGAGGCAGCAGUGGGGAAUUUUGGACAAUGGGGGAAACCCUGAUCCAGCCAUCCCGCGUGUAUGAUGAAGGCCUUCGGGUUGUAAAGUACUUGCAGUCGGGAGGCGUUACCGACAGAAGAAGCACCGGCUAACUCCGUGCCAGCAGCCGCGGUAAUAC
rnacentral:rRNA from 1 species